GGCCCUGACUAGCUGAACCGGUAGAGCAUGGCAUCAACGUUGCUGGGGUCAGGGGUUCGAUUCCCACUGGGACCA